rnacentral:rRNA from 1 species
UACGUAGGAGGCAAGCGUUGUCCGGAAUUACUGGGUGUAAAGCGCGUGUAGGCGGCUCGUUAAGUUCCUAGUGAAAGCGCCCGGCUCAACCGGGCAGGGUCCAGGGAAACUGGCGGGCUGGAGGUCGGUAGAGGCGAGUGGAAUUCCCGGUGUAGUGGUGAAAUGCGUAGAGAUCGGGAGGAACACCAGUGGCGAAGGCGGCUCGCUGGGCCGGACCUGACGCUGAGACGCGAAGGCGUGGGGAGCGAACAGG